ACUCCUACGGGAGGCAGCAGUAGGGAAUCUUCCGCAAUGGACGCAAGUCUGACGGAGCAACGCCGCGUGUAUGAAGAAGGUCUUCGGAUCGUAAAAUUCUGUGUCAGCGAAGAACAGGGGAAAGAGGAA
rnacentral:rRNA from 1 species